AGGCCUACUUUUAACGUAUUUAGCACAGGAACAUAGUAUGCAAAUCUAUCUUUUCUGUCCUCAUCUUUGCCCAACAACACUUUUUUGGGUUCCCCAUAUUCGAACAUGUCUUUAAAACACCGGGCUCUAGAAUGAGCCGUUCUCAUCGGCCCUGUGUGGCAAGCUGAGAACAAGUCCGACUGUUUUACUGUGUCGCAGAUUUUUGCAAUGUCUUCAUCUGCAAAUGACGUUUCUUUAAGAAGCAAGUUCAAUCUAUUUAAAGAGUAUGUCUGUCCCAAUUCAUGUAUAUUCUGCAUCUCUUCCACAAUGUUUUGAAUGGUAGGUGAUGGAAGAAGAUGUUGUCCCUGUAGUUUUAUGUAAAACAUACAGACAUUUCUAAGAUACAAGUCACUGAAAUUUGGUCCUUCUAUGACUGUGUCUUCUGCAUCUGGCGCACUGGAAUCUUUUGUGGUAGCACUCUGAGUAUCUUCAUUACUUGUUUCACAAAUCAUAUUUUAUUUUUAUUUUAAUGCUGCAUAACCAACCGGCUGCAACACACUUGAACAUACGCCUCGGUUCGUUGCGAUGCAGUUUGCAAUGGAGAACAAAGGCUUUAACAGAUUUAACUGUUUCUGCACACAGGUUGCAUGAAUACAUCUUAAAUAUAUUACUUCGAUGGAUAGCUUACAGCGAUGGCGAUACAAAACGGAUGUAAGCAAUAGCUUUGUGGAGAGGCUAACUUUCCACAACUUCUUUUUCUCCUCGUUUCCCCUGAAAUGUCUUUUCAACCAACCGAAUGCAACUCAAACUAUUUGUUUUCUGAAAUUUUCCGCAAUAUUUCCUUACCUGAGAACGAGAGCCGAUCAGACGGAGAAGGUUGGAUGAUGAAGUCUCUGCACAAUCUGAGCGGAAUAGCUGGACAAAAACGCGAACCACCGAGUGCGACGGGUCCUCAAAUCCACCGCUUCCAAACUUCCGCCAGAACUCCACUUCGCCUGUCCGCGCGGACCAGGUGCAGGGGCCCCAUUAAUUAAGACUGACUACAGGCUGCCUGCCAGGGCUACGGGCAGGAAACUUGACUUACAUGACUUUUGUUAAACCGAAUAAAUUAUAUUACAAUAUAGACUACAAAUAUCUCUAAAACAUUUUCUGUGACUGAGUACAGAUUAUUUUAAUUUAUUUGUUAAUGAAAGAAAAUCCAAUAUUGGCAACAAGAUCAUUUACGGUACAGAACAUUUCGUGGAAAGAUAUUUAAUUUCCAUAAUUCCAUUCAAAAAGUCAAACUUUAAUAGAUUCCAGAUUCAGGACCCACAACUUAAGACGAUUGCAAGUAUUUGUUUAUUUUUACAUAAUUUGGGCUGUCAGGAGAAUUAAAUGCAAAGGUUACAGCGCUACUACAAUUUCUUUUUUCAUUUCCACAACAGUAUGCAUAUUGACAGUUUUGACCUGUAUACUUUAGAUUAAUUAUACAUGUAAAAAUUACGAUAUACACUGCUAGAAAAAUUAUAGUAUAUUUUUGUAAUUGCCACAGCAGUAUGCAUAUUGAACAGUUUCGAACUGUAUACUUUAUAAUUAUUAAAUGCAAAAACUACGGUAUACAUUGCUAGAAAAAUUACGGUAUGUUUCUGUAAUUGUCACAACAGUAUGCAUUCUUAACAGCUACUAACUGUAUUGUUUAAGAAAGAUGAGUGCAAAAACUACAGUAUGUACUACUAGAAAAAUUACAGCAUAUUACUGUUAAAAGUAUGACAAGAUUUUUUUUAACAGCAGGGCAAUGUAAAUUUUCUGAAAAACCCCCCCAGUAAAAAUUACAUUUUUUCCUAAUUAUCUUAUUUACGGUAAUUACUUGUUAAAGAAACAGUCUAAAAUUGAUUUCUAAUUUACGGUUUUAAAUUUUCAUGGUUUACUUUAUUUAACUGUAAAAUUUACGGAUAUUUUUUUACAGUGUAGGAAGAAAGCAAUGUUCAUAGUAUGGUUUUAUUUUCGUCUGAAACGACACUUUGUCUUUUCUAGCUGUCAUAGAAACUCAAAGCGGAAAAAAAGAGCCGCAUUUGCGCAUGCGGUUGUGAAGUCAGCGCGGCAGGUGCAAAGAGCUCACUGUAAUAAACAAAGAUGAUUUUCUUUUUGUUCCUCUACCGCCCUCUUGUGGUCGCAGCUGAUAAUGAUCCAUCUAGCAAGCAAAUGCUAAGAUGACGUUCGGCGUCCAAACAACAAUGAGAAGAAUCAUGGAUGAAAAAGCCAAAUUUCAGCACAAAUUUUAAACAUUAUUCAAUACACAACUUGUUGUUUCUAUAUUCUGUUUCACAUCUUUCAGAAAGUAACCGAUAAUAAUAACUAAAUGUCUAUAAUACUUGUGGUUUUCUUUACAUAACUUCUAAACAAAUCAAAUCAUAAAAACGCUGAUGACCGCAGACCGCUUCUGUACUCAGAAGCUGAGUUGAUGCUUCUGAGUACGAUUCGCAUAUUUAAAAGCGAAUCGUGUCCAAUUUCCAGCACCAGGCUCACUUACAGAAGUGAGGAUUUUUCUGUUCUAAUUUGAAAAUGAAAUGAGAAAAGAACUGGGAACAAAAUCAAGAUAAAAAAAAAUACACAGAAGGUGCAACAAACCUUCAGCAGCCUCAUCUUGUUUAUGUCAGCGAAUGACGUCAUCGUUUACGAUUACAAAUAGCCCAUAAAAGCAUCACUUGGACUGUUAUUUAUUAUUUAGCAUUUGGUGAAAUAUGCAUUUUCAUAUCAGUCAGGUAAUUAUAAACCCUGUAUUGUUAACUAUUACAUCAUAAAUAUACCAUAUAUGAUGCAGUUUUUUUCCCAUUUCUCUCUUUAAUGACACACUUCCACCCCUCCUAGAUGAAUUAGAUGGAUCGGUUCAUUUCUGCAGCAGGUAGAGAUAAGAGAGAACCAGCAGGACACUGACCAGCCAAUCGGAUGUUCUCCUGACUGAGAAAGUGGGAUAAUAUCUCAUCUCUGCGGUUGUGGAUCACAAGCUGUAUGGCAGCAGAGCUGAGUUUGAUGCCACCAUUGACCUUCUCCUUAAAGAGUUUGGAGUGGAACUGGUCUGCCUUGCUGGUUUCAUGAGGAUCCUGACUGGGAUCUUUGUGAAAAAAUGGCAUGGGAGGCUCCUCAACAUUCAUCCCUCCCUGCUGCCUUCAUUCAAAGGGGUCAAUGCCCAGCAACAGGCUCUCCAGGCCAGAGUGCUGAUAACUGGGUGCACCGUCCACUUUGUAGCUGUAAGUGUUGCGCUAACACAUAUAAAGCUCAUCAAAUAAAUCCACACAAUAAAAGUUCUUCGUUUCUUCUAGGAAGAGGUUGAUGCAGGCGCCGUCGUGGUCCAGGAAGCCGUUCCGGUGUUGGUUGGAGACACAGAGGAAAGUCUGUCGGCCAGAAUCGGGGAGGCCGAGCACAAAGCGCUCCCUAAAGCUCUGGAGCUGGUGGCCAGUGGAGCGGUGCAACUGGGACCAGAUGGAAACAUAGUCUGGAAGCAAGGGCGUUGAAAUGUCUCUACUAAUGCAUGUCUGACUAAUGAUCAGAAACCAUAGUUUACAAUAAAGUACAUCACUGUCAAUUGUA